UCCACCAGUAACUAAUUAAAAAAAAAAAGUACUUACAUUUAUAAAUUUGUUUCCUUUUUUUCCUAAACACUAUGUGUGUAAAGGGUGCUGUAUGUGUGUGAAGGGUGUAGUGUGUGUGAAGGGUACUGUAUGUGGGUGAGUGGUGAAGUGUGUGUGAGGGGUGCUGUGUGUGUGAGAGGUGCUGUGUGUGAAGGGGGCAGUCUGUGUGUGUGAGGGAUGUAGUGUGUGUUUGUGUGUAAAGGGUCCAUAGGGUCUAUGCUAGGUGGGCGAGAUGGGAAAA